rnacentral:rRNA from 1 species
CCGAACCCAUGUAUGUUGAAAAAUGCUGGGAUGAGUUGUGGGUAGCGGUGAAAUUCCAAACGAACUUGGAGAUAGCUGGUUCUCUCCGAAAUAGCUUUAGGGUUAGCCUCGGAGGAUGGAUCAUGGAGGUAGAGCACUGUUUGAACUAGGGGCCCGUCAAGGGUUACUGAAUUCAGAUAAACUCCGAAUACCAUUGAUCUUACUCCGGGAGUCAGACAGUGAGCGAU